AUUGAACGCUGGCGGAAUGCUUUACACAUGCAAGUCGAACGGUAGAGGGGGCAACCCCUCGAGAGUGGCGAACGGGCGAGUAAUAUAUCGGAACGUGCCCAGUCGUGGGGGACAACGUAGCGAAAGUUACGCUAAUACCGCAUACGAUCUAAGGAUGAAAGCGGGGGAUCGCAAGACCUCGCGCGAUUGGAGCGGCCGAUAUCAGAUUAGGUAGUUGGUGGGGUAAAGGCUCACCAAGCCAACGAUCUGUAGCUGGUCUGAGAGGACGACCAGCCACACUGGAACUGAGACACGGUCCAGACUCCUACGGGAGGCAGCAGUGGGGAAUUUUGGACAAUGGACGCAAGUCUGAUCCAGCCAUUCCGCGUGCAGGAUGAAGGCCCUCGGGUUGUAAACUGCUUUUGUACGGAACGAAAAGGUCUCCUCUAAUACAGGGGGCUCAUGACGGUACCGUAAGAAUAAGCACCGGCUAACUACGUGCCAGCAGCCGCCGUAA
rnacentral:rRNA from 1 species